AACAGGCUUCACCGGCUCUGGGGUAACAGCCGGUUCUGUCGCUGCAAAGAUGAUGGGUGCCGCAGCUGUUGCCAAUGGAGGAGGUGUUGCAGCUGGAAGCAUGGUGGCUACUCUUCAAUCAGCUGGAGCAGCAGGACUGUCAUUCGUUGCUAAAGCAGCAGUCGGGGCUGGAGGUGCUGUAACCGGUGCAUUGCUUGGACUCUGGAGAAAAUAACCUCAAUAAAUUACCAUUCUUCCUAAACCCUGAAUAUGAUCCAAAAUGUAUUUGAUUAUUAAAAGUCCACAUGUAAAGCA